rnacentral:rRNA from 1 species
GAUCCUGGCUCAGGAUGAACGCUGGCGGCGUGCCUAAUACAUGCAAGUCGAACGCGAGCAGCAAUGCUCGAGUGGCGAACGGGUGAGUAAUACAUAAGUAACCUGCCCUAGACAGGGGGAUAACUGCUGGAAACGGCAGCUAAGACCGCAUAGGUAUGGACACUGCAUGGUGACCAUAUUAAAAGUGCCAAGGCACUGGUAGAGGAUGGACUUAUGGCGCA